rnacentral:rRNA from 1 species
GAUGAACGCUGGCGGCGUGCCUAAUACAUGCAAGUCGAGCGAACGGACGAGAAGCUUGCUUUUCUGAUGUUAGCGGCGGACGGGUGAGUAACACGUGGAUAACCUACCUAUAAGACUGGGAUAACUUCGGGAAACCGGAGCUAAUACCGGAUAAUAUUUUGAACCGCAUGGUUCAAAAGUGAAAGACGGUCUUGCUGUCACUUAUAGAUGGAUCCGCGCUGCAUUAGCUAGUUGGUAAGGUAACGGCUUACCAAGGCAACGAUGCAUAGCCGACCUGAGAGGGUGAUCGGCCACACUGGAACUGAGACACGGUCCAGACUCCUACGGGAGGCAGCAGGAGGGAAUCUUCCGCAAUGGGCGAAAGCCUGUCGGAGCAACGCCGCGUGAGUGAUGAAGGUCUUCGGAUCGUAAAACUCUGUUAUUAGGGAAGAACAUAUGUGUAAGUAACUGUGCACAUCUUGACGGUACCUAAUCAGAAAGCCACGGCUAAGUACGGG